CUUUAAUCAUUUAAAUCAAUUUUGUUUAAGGUUCUCAAACAAGCUCAAUCUCAAUAAGUUCUGAAGUUUCAAUUCUCAAAACUUGAAUUGGAUUAUCCGCCAGGCUCAAAGAGAAUAGAAGAGAAUAGAAAAGGAGAGAGAGAGAGUAUGGGGAGGGCGGAAAUGAAUCGUCACUGCUCUCUGAUUGGAGUGGUAAUGUCACAUCACAAGCCUUUCCCCUGUCGCGAGAACACAUCCACGGAAAUUAAUUUGGACGCUCGAGCAUCGUUAGCCCACUAAUUUCAUCUUUCAAUUAAGCACAUGCGGAAGCGUGCUCAUUAGAUCAAAUGAUUUCAUUUACAUGUCCACUUAGUUGGACUAUUCUGAUUACAACCAAAAAGGGGAUAAGGGAGUUAGUCCUAACUCCUCUGCAAUAGCGAUUAUCAAAAGUGAUUCUCAUCAAAAGACCGACUCCUCACAGCUCAAGCUCGGGAUCUUAGUUGAGGUCGGAGUCGACGUCAUCUAUGGUGCCAUUGGAAGUAUUCGCCAUCGAACCAUUGGGGCCACCAGGCGGACCAUCAAACCCACAGAGGGGCCCAAAGAUCUCGUCGAUCCACAUGAAUCAUGACUCAUAUAGAUGAGGAACCAGGCAACCUAAGCCCUCAUCAACCCACAUCAAGGUAGUGUGCUUUUAGUAUGUAAUAUCAGACAUCACGUCCUCUAUAUUAAGCAUCAUGAUUCCCAUCUAUACAGGUAACCUGAGUUGGAUCGGAGGGAAACUCAUAUCUAUGGGCUUGAAAAGGAUAAAAUAACAACGAAUGAGUUGAAAACUCAAUAAAUAAAUUGCCUAAACCUCAUAUAAACGGAUGCCUCAUAUCGGAACCAUGCGAGUACUCAAAGCCAACAUGUUGAUGGCAAAUCAAUAGCAAAGCCCUCGCUUUGCCUUAAACUAUGCAUAUGAAGGAAAGUUCUCAACUACCUAAAACACUAGUAUGAUCAAGAAUUCUACACAUGCCAAAUAAUAACUUCUAUUGUAUACAUGUGCUUCUCAAGUCCUAAAUAAUAAAGUAUAAAAUAAGCAUGUGCCUCUCAAGUCAUAAAUAAUAGCAUAUAAAAUUUGCACUUAACAAAUAAUAGCUUCUAAAAUGCUCACGUGAUGUUCAAGCACCGCUGUAAGUCCAAUCCGGUUCAGAAACAAUACGCCUUAACAUCGCUGAACCAAGAGAGAGCAACUCAACCUGGCAUGCUUCCACACAUGUCCAAACGAACGUGAAUCUCUUUUCGGAGGCUCAGGGAGUGUUUUCAAGCGUUCACAGUGACGUAUAUAAGAGCUACCUUCAAUAAACAACAACAAAACCUUAAAAUCAAGGAUAUGCGAUGAGUCAUAGACGAACCACAACCAAUAGUAGCAACAAAUCCUUAUAGCCAAACUUAGACAAUAACAUAUAAAUGAACCUCAUCCAAUAAUAACAACGAUCUUUUGUAGCCAGGUAUGGACGUGAACAUAUAACACGCGUUUCCACUAACAACAACAAACAUUGAAACCUUGACUAUCAUAUGACAAGUUCUCACCUAUUCACGAGCUUUAUAACUCAAACAAAUCAAAAGCAAACUUUACAAAGUUAGUAUGUGGUUCUAAUCUACCUAGGAUGGUUCGACUUUACUUAACAACAAAAACAAACCAAACCUACAUCCAAGCUACGCAACAUAACAGCCUAGCCAAUGUUUAGGGGAUCUACUUACUAAACAAGGACAAGAACGAAGACGAAUGGCGGCUCACGACUCACAGUGAGCAAACGGCAAUGAUGACAUAGUGAGCAGAUGGCGAUGGUAGCUCACGGUGGGUGAUAGUGAGGAGGCCGAGAGAGGGGCGUGUAAGGGAGAAGGAGAGAGGCAAAUGUAAAGAGAAAGCAAAGUGAACUUGGGGAAAAAGUAAGAGGGAGAGAGAGAGAGAGAUGGGUUCUAAGGAUAUACAUGUGAAAUUCAAUUAUAGGCUAAGUAAUGAUGGCUAAUGAUGGUUUUCUUGGCUUAGUUAGAAAGAUUGAAUCUCCAUCUUUCAAGUGUCACAAUUAGGGUUAAUCUUAACCAAGUUUAUCCUUCAAGCUUUAAUGGUUGAAUUAUUACAUAGUUUCAAAGGUAACUAUCCUAGUUACACAAACUAGACCUAUUUCUCCUCCCUUUCUCCUUGAAGUGGCACCUAGUCGAACUUUAGUUCUCCCUCAACUUAUCUUCAAGAAGCUAUGUAAGUCUCACCUUUAGGGUUAUUAUAGCCCAAAUCCCUACAUAAGCACAUGUCUCAACUUCUUGCACUUAUGCACUAUCUUAAAAAAUCUAAGGAUAGGUUUAAACCUUACAAGAUAAUAAACCUUGCAAGAUAACUUGAUCCCCAAGUUCCUCCCUAUUGAGGCAUGUGAGGGGGGCUUCAUUGGCUUCCAAGAAUUGUUUACUCUCAUUUGAUCCAAAUUCAAGAGGACAAAAGAUCAUUAAGAGGAGUAUCUGAAUAUCUUUUAAAUCGGACAUGAAUGUCUUAUAAUCAACCAUGAUUGACACCUAUAAUCGGACCAAGGUUUAUGGCUAAGUUUUGAUCAGAAGUGGCCCUAAUGCGGCCUACAUGAAUUGGGCAGAUUUGGCGAUGCUUGAGUGGCUAGAUCCAAGCCUAAGUUGGCACUUGUCUAGGGUUUUGUGCGUGACCCAUGGUUGGUUCACUAACCCAUAGUUGAGCUUGGUCAAUCCAUGAAUAACCCUUGGUUAUCAUAUAAUCGUAUAAGAUCGAUUGACCUGCCUUGACCCAUGGUCACACGGAAUCGAAUUAGGUCAUUCACAAAUGAUACAGUGGUCGUGCGGAGUCACUCGCUGCUAGUAUAUACUCAAGUUGAAUCAAUCUAUACUGGUCAAUUGAUCAACUCAUGACAGCACAUGAUCAUCAACAUCAAUCCUUAUGAUCAAGCGGUCUCCUCAUAAUCAAACGUUUUGGUCUAACAUAACCCUGAUCCUAAGUUGCCUUGCUCCAAUCAAUCAAUUGGCUCAUGAACAAACUCUAGGAUUGAUUCAAAGCCCAUUCUCAUUAUUAGCAUACUAGUCCUUAGUCUAUUCCUCGCAUCUAAGAUAGGGGUCCGAAUCAAGGAUGUCACAGGGAAACCCUCACUAGGGGUGUACCUAGCUCUUCCUAAGGCAAACAAACCUAGCUAGAGACAUGCUUCGUGAUUACAAGGAUUGCCAUCUCUUACGCAUAGCCAAGAGUGUUCCUCCAACCUCAUAGCGGUCUGUCCCCACGUUCUUUGUAAAAAAGCUAAAAUAAACGGUUCUAAAUUAUAUAAAUAAUCGACUUAUCCGUUCUUGAUUAUUCUGCCUUCUUUAUUUUAUUUAUCUCUUGACCGUUGGCCAUCUUUAGGCAACGCGAGUGGCGAUCCAUGCCGUCCUUACAAGGCUCAUUGACAUGGAGACGUCACACACAUCCAAUUUUAAGACGUUUAUAUUAUCUAAGAACUCCUUGGAGCGUUUUCUCUUAUUUAUCAAUCGUGAGUUGCCGACGAAGAAUGAACCUACACCUGAUCAUCUUGUCCAGUUACUCCCCUUUUCUCGCACCAUGACACUGAAAAUUGCUCCUUGAUAUUUAUUUGUUCUUUAGUCAAAAAUGAAUCUUUUAUUGAUAUCAGUGAAAACUUCUAUUGGUUGGUUCCGGUAAAAUAUCCAUUUCCAAUUGAGUAGCCUUUUUAGGGAAGCCAAACAGUUGAAUGGAAAGUAUUUGUUUUUAAGUUGCAUAUGCAACUUGUUACUAUUGUUGUACAUUUGUACUAUUAAGAU
rnacentral:lncRNA from 1 species